GACGAACGCUGGCGGCGUGCCUAAUACAUGCAAGUCGAGCGCAGGAAACUGACGGAACUCUUCGGAGGGAGGGCAGCGGAAUGAGCGGCGGACGGGUGAGUAACACGUAAGGAACCUGCCUCAAGGAUUGGGAUAACUCCGAGAAAUCGGAGCUAAUACCGGAUAGUUCAACGGACCGCAUGGUCCGCUGAUGAAAGGCGCUUCGGCGUCACCUUGAGAUGGCCUUGCGGUGCAUUAGCUAGUUGGUGGGGUAACGGCCCACCAAGGCGACGAUGCAUAGCCGACCUGAGAGGGUGAUCGGCCACACUGGGACUGAGACACGGCCCAGACUCCUACGGGAGGCAGCAGUAGGGAAUCUUCCACAAUGGACGAAAGUCUGAUGGAGCAACGCCGCGUGAGUGAUGAAGGUUUUCGGAUCGUAAAACUCUGUUGUAAGGGAAGAACACGUACGAGAGGAAAUGCUCGUACCUUGACGGUACCUUACGAGAAAGCCACGGCUAACUACGUGCCAGCCGCCGCGGUAA
rnacentral:rRNA from 1 species